rnacentral:rRNA from 1 species
GACGUAGGAGCCAAGCGUUAUCCGAAUUCACUGGGCGUAAAGCGUGUGCAGGCGGACCAAUAAGUUGGAUGUGAAAUCUCCUGGCUCAACUGGGAGAGGCCGUACAAUACUGUUGGACUAGAGGGCGACAGAGGAAAGUGGAAUUCCCGGUGUAGUGGUGAAAUGCGUAGAUAUCGGGAGGAACACCAGUGGCGAAAGCGACUUUCUGGGUCGCACCUGACGCUCAGACACGACAGCUAGGGGAGCGAACGGG